rnacentral:rRNA from 1 species
GAUGAACGCUGGCUACAGGCUUAACACAUGCAAGUCGAGGGGAAACGGCGGGGAAGCUUGCUUCCCCGGGCGUCGACCGGCGCACGGGUGAGUAACGCGUAUCCAACCUGCCUCUGACUGAGGGAUAACCCGUCGAAAGUCGGCCUAAUACCUUAUGGCAUCGUCUGCGGGCAUCCAACGACGAUUAAAGAUUUCAUCGGUCAGGGCUGGGGAUGCGUCUGAUUAGCUUGUUGGCGGGGUAACGGCCCACCAAGGCUACGAUCAGUAGGGGUUCUGAGAGGAAGGUCCCCCACAUUGGAACUGGGACCCGGCCCAAACGCCUACGGGAGGCAGCAGUGAGGAAGAGUGGUCAGAGGGCGGGAGCCUGAACCAGCCAAGUAGCGUGCAGGAUGACGGCCCUAUGGGUUGUAAACUGCUUUUAUGCGGGGAUAAAGUGAGGGACGUGUCCUUCAUUGCAGGUACCGCAUGAAUAAGGACCGGCUAAUUCCGUG